AAAGGGGAGGAAGCGGUGAGGGGCAAAGAGAACUCCAACAGGGAAGGAAGCUGUGAGGGAGCAUGGGGCAAAAAGAGCCUCUAAAAAGGGAGGGAAAGUGUGAGCAGCAAAGAAGGCACAGAAAGGGCAUGAAAGUGUGAGGGAGCAGGGUGCAAAAAAAGGCUCUAAAAAAGCAGGAAGCCGUGAGGGGCAAAGAAAGUUCCAAAAAGGCGGGAAAGAAGGCUCUAAAAGGGCAAGAAGAGGUGCGGGGGAAAAGAAGGCUUCAAAAGGGCAGAAAACUGUGGCAAGGCAGUGGGCAACAUUUCUGCCCUCAGACCUGUCUCAGGAACAACACCCAGGUGAUUGUUGAAACAGAACGGAGAACUAUUGCGGCAGCAUUGAGAACAACUUAGAGGAGCACAGAAACGUGAGGGAAGAGGAGGCCCUUUGCUGAUAUACGGCUGUUGACUGAACAGGGCAAAGUAGCCUUGGACUCCACUGGAAAGGCCUUGAAGGAAAUACUUACCUUUCCAGCCAGCAGCACCACUCUUACCUGCUGUGUUGGACCCAGACCAGUGCCUCACAUCACAGAGUGCUUCUGGAGACAGACAGGAUGUGGGCUUGUACAGAUUCAGAAUAUUUUGAGCAAUUGCAUCCACUUUGGCUUUAGAUAAAGAGAAUUACAUCUGACACAACAAGAUACAGAUUUCAACACUGUUUGGCUCUGCACUGGGAUCUCCAGGAAACCUGAUGUGUAAGUGAAUUCUAGAAUUUGGCUGUUUGGCAAAUGUCAGUUUUAAGCAAACCCUUCCAUGAGUCAGUAGUAACCCUCCAUAAUAAUGUCCCAGCCAUUAUCUAGCCAGGGAGCUCUGAUCUGUUGUCUUAAUUACUGGCCUAAAUUAAUCCACAUAUUUCGUACAAAGAAGUGCUGAGGAUGGAGACCAUCAUGUGAUAUUUGUGCAGUUAUAUCCUCCAGUGUUGUGUUUUCUACAGCUCAUGUUUUUACUUUAUCUCUGCUCCCUUAAAUGGACCGUUAAA